rnacentral:rRNA from 1 species
UGACCUAGCUACUGAAAUCUAUAUGUUUUUUUCAAUAAUUCUUUUUAUUAAGUAGUUAAUAUUUAUUAAGAAAAAUUAUAAAAAACAAAAUAAAGAUAAGGUAAGGGAAAAUAAUGAUAUUACCUUACUAUAGUGUUGUCAAAAUUUGGUGCCAGAAGACUCGGUAAGGCCAAAAACGCAAACGUUAGCAUCUUUAUCAGGCGUAAAGGGUUUGUAGGCGGCCUUAAUAGCUUUUAAAUUUUAUUAUUUAAACAAAAGAAAAUUUACUUAAAAUUAAGUAAACUAAGGCUAAAUUAAGUGCUAGAGUCAAUUAGAGGUUAUAUUAUAGAAUGCUUAAAGUAGGGCCAAUAUCCACAAAGAUUAAGCAGAAUAUUAAGGGCGAAGGCUUUUUCUCCACUACGGAAAAUAUAAUAACUGACGCUGAGAAACGAAGGGGAGGAUAGGAAAUAGGAUUAGAUACCCAGAAUACCCCUCUCUGUCAACGAUGAAUGGUAAUUUCUAGUAAGUUAUAAAAAAUAACCAAUAUUAGUUUUAAUGUUAACACGUUAACCAUUCCGCCUUGUGAGUACGAUUGAAAUUGAAAAAAAAAAUUAGUCGGUUUCGGAGCGACGAA